CCUGCCCCUAGAAGCAUUAUAGGUUUGUCUGCUUUGUCACAUGAGUCAGGAGGGGACAGAGGAGAGAAGCUAUGUCUGUGUCAAGUGUUUUGUUCUAUGAAAAUCUGAAUGAUUAGUAGCCUAACAUU